AUUGAACGCUAGCGGGAUGCCUUACACAUGCAAGUCGAACGGCAGCACGGACUUCGGUCUGGUGGCGAGUGGCGAACGGGUGAGUAAUGUAUCGGAACGUGCCCAGUAGCGGGGGAUAACUACUCGAAAGAGUAGCUAAUACCGCAUACGCCCUACGGGGGAAAGGGGGGGAUCGCAAGACCUCUCACUAUUGGAGCGGCCGAUAUCGGAUUAGCUAGUUGGUGGGGUAAAGGCUCACCAAGGCGACGAUCCGUAGCUGGUUUGAGAGGACGACCAGCCACACUGCGACGGAGAAACCGGCCAGACGCCCUCGGGAGGCAGCAGUGGGAAAUUUUGGACAUUGGGGACUACCCUGGUCCAGCCAGCCCCCGGGUGCGAUGAAGGCCUUCGGUUUGUAAAGCACUUUUGGCAGGAAAGAAAUCGCAUGGGUUAAUACCCUGUGUGGAUGACGGUACCUGUAGAAUAAGCACCGGCUAACUACGUGCCAGCCGCCGCCGUAA
rnacentral:rRNA from 1 species